rnacentral:rRNA from 1 species
GAUGAACGCUGGCGGCGUGCCUAAUACAUGCCAGUCGAGCGAACGGACGAGAAGCUUUCUUCUCUGAUUUUAGCGGCGGACGGGUGAGUAACACGUGGAUAACCUACCUAUAAGACUGGGGUAACUUCGGGAAACCGUAUCUAAUACCGGAUAAUAUUUUGAACCUCAUUGUGCAAGAGUUGAAUACGCUCUUUCUGUCACUUAUAGAUUGAUCCGCGGUGCAUUAGCUAGUUGGUAAGGUAACGGCUUACCAAGGCAACGAUGGAUAGCCGACCUGAGAGGGUCAUCCGACACACUGGCACUGAGAAACGGUACAGACUCUGACGGGAGGACGCAGUAGGGAAUCUUACGCAAUGGGCGAAAGCCUGAUGGAGCAACGCCGCGUGAGUGAUGAAGGUCUUCGGAUCGUAAAACUAUGUUAUUAGGGAAGAACAUAUGUGUAAGUAACUGUGCACAUAUUGACGGUACCUAAUGAGAAAGCCCCGGCUAACUCCGUG